GAUGAAAAAUAAAUGCUAUUAUUGAUCUCACUAUGACUUGAUUGUGAGAACGAUCGAACCACAUGUGUGCUGUUGCCUAAUUAUGCAUGCAUUCCGUUGAAAGUUGCUUCCUCAUGUCGGACGAACAGCCAACCACGUUUUCAGUUUCUCAGCUUGUACUUUUAGAAAUAUGUUGAGGUAUUCUUAGAGUAAUGAUUACCAAUGACUUUCAUCUGUAUAUUCCCCUUAAUUGAUUUUCCCCUUUGAACG